rnacentral:rRNA from 1 species
UACGUAGGGUGCGAGCGUUGUCCGGAAUUAUUGGGCGUAAAGGGCUCGUAGGCGGUUUGUCGCGUCGGGAGUGAAAUCCACUGGCUUAACUGGUGGCUUGCUUUCGAUACGGGCAGACUGGAGGUAUGCAGGGGGAGAACGGAAUUCCUGGUGUAGCGGUGAAAUGCGCAGAUAUCAGGAGGAACACCGGUGGCGAAGGCGGUUCUCUGGGCAUGCCCUGACGCUGAGGAGCGAAAGUGUGGGGAGCGAACAGG